UGGGUUUUCCUCACCUUCUCCAGAGAAAGGUUGUUUUUGAAUAAAUUCUAUGUAUUCGGGGUCUAUCUCAAAACUAGAUGCUAUGAUAGGCUUUGAAGAUUUUGGUGGUUCGAGAUGUGUGCCCAUAGGUCUAUGAAUUUCAUAGAUAGACAUGUUUGAAUUCAUAAUAGACCAGAGAUCAAGGAUUAGAUAAGAAGAAAGAAUAGC
rnacentral:lncRNA from 1 species